UGCUCGGCGGGCUGUGGAGGGGCCAUAAAUUAGAGGCCCUCCAAAUUGUAGGCACUUUAAAUGCCCCGAAGGAUUCGGCGGCAGGCGCCUUCCAUUUAAUUCAAUUUAUCCAAGUUCUUACUCUUUCCAACUAUUUGCAACUUUGCACACAACAAGCGCGCGAUGGCAAAGGAAAAGUGAGGAAAAAGCGAGGCGAAGACGAGAUUCCUCCGCAGGACUCUGUGCUCCAUCCUUCUUGCUCCUUGCUGGCUGGCUGACUGGUUGCCUGCUUGGCUAAAGUUGGCAACAUCUUCACAUUGGAGGGUCUGGCUAGAAAUUGCAUUUGGCUGGGAAACGAAACUCUUAGCAAUCAAAUUGGGCAAACAUCAAGGCGGGCGAGCCAGAACGCAAGACGUAGUUGUCGUACUUCAAAAACUCAAGUCGUGCAUAUUUAUCAAAACAUAUUCGAUAUAUGGAGAGGAAAUGGGGAAAAAUUGCACGUGCAUGCAAGAGCAAACACGAAGAAAUUGUUGGCACUGAAGUCCCUAUACACACAUGGAAAAUAAGAGAGAACCAGGACCAGGACGAAGGAUACGCCGUUCGCUCUCCAUCUGCAGUUGACGUUGUUGGCGCUUCAGAAAUGUGUAAAAUAUUUUGGCCAUCACAGAAUAUGGCACGCGGAAAGGGCAACCAACAAUAUUUAUUAUGGAAAAUAGGCGAGAAGGCGUACCUCUACAGGUCCUACUACCCAUUGCGCAUUGAUUAAUGCUCUCCAUGCAGACAACAUGGCGUAUGCGUAAUGUGGCAAUGAGAUAUAAAUCGAAGGCAGCGCAUUAAUGGCCAACUAUUAAACUAAUCGCUUUUGUUGCCCAGCGACUGGCAAUUAUCCUGCGCUCACUCCCCUCAUUUCCCCAAAUCAAGUCAUAAAACAAAACAAGGGGAAAAAGCAAAAAGAGCGAGAAAAAGCAAAAAGUCCUGCCAAAUGUCGAUCCUGGCUGAAGGAAAAUGGCAGGACGAAAGUCCGGGACUAAAGCAAUUUUACACCUGUCAGCAAAUAAAACGUUGAUACACAAAUAGAAAAAUCCGUCUAAGUAGCAAAAUUAUUGUUGAAAGCACAAUGCGCCCUGCAAAAUAAAAAAAAAAAGGGACAGUCGCAAAGAGGACUCAACGAAAUCGCUUUUGCUUUCGUUGUUUAAGACAAAUACCGCGCAGCAACAAAAGGCCAACUCAUUGUUGUUGCUGUUGAUUCACCUUUCUGCCACGCCCCGCAUCCCAGCCGCCCACUUCUAACGCUCGUUUUUUCCACCGCUCCUUUGUGCUAAAUAAACAUUUAUAAAAACA